CCUACGGGAGGCAGCAGUGAGGAAUAUUGGACAAUGGGCGCAAGCCUGAUCCAGCCAUGCCGCGUGCAGGAUGACGGUCCUAUGGAUUGUAAACUGCUUUUGUACAGGAAGAAACACUGGUUCGUGAACCAGCUUGACGGUACUGUAAGAAUAAGGAUCGGCUAACUCCGUGCCAGCAGCCGCGGUAAUACGGAGGAUCCAAGCGUUAUCCGGAAUCAUUGGGUUUAAAGGGUCCGUAGGCGGUUUAAUAAGUCAGUGGUGAAAGCCCAUCGCUCAACGGUGAACGGCC
rnacentral:rRNA from 1 species